rnacentral:lncRNA from 1 species
GCACGAUGGGAAAGAGAGAGUUGGGACCCGCAGGAGGGGGCAGGGCACUGACCCGGUGCCGCCCAGCAGGGCAGCGUCUCCUGGCUCAGACCAGUGCUAGAAGUGUCCAGUCUAGCAGCUCCUGGACCAAGACUCCGUGGCCAUUCCCUUCCUCCUGCCUUCCAUCCACCCCCUUACGAUACAGAAGUUGAGAUACAGAGAGGUGAAGGAACUUGUCCCAGGCCCUACAGCUAGUCCUGAGUUCUUGACCAGCAUCCGUGAAGAAUGAGGUUACACAGACAACUGGAAGGUGAGCAAGGCAGAGAACAGCUUUAUCGGCUGACCAAACAGCUCUCAGAGGAGAGGAGACCCAAAGUGGGUAGCUCCUAUCUGCAGGCAGGUAGUCCCAACGAGUCCAUGAAUCUGGCCGGGUCAGGAAAAAGCACCAUCUGAUUGGCCAAAAGGCAUCAAGGAAGUUCUCACUUUAGGUAGUGGACUCCACACAGAACUGGAGGCCUGGCUGUCAGGCUUCAGGUCAUCCCUGGCUUGAAGGUGGGGUUUCACCAAGGACCCACCCCUUCCCACCUAGGAACCUGUCUGCCUCCUGCCACCAUUAGUUUACCUAUGUGACCCGCAGGAUAUGCCAGAAAUGAUGGUAUGUCACUUCUAAAAUUCAAAUUAAAAAAAAAAAGACUACAGCUUCUGUCUUUAGUGUGUACUCUAUUUUUGGGGUCACUCACUCUGGGAGAAGCAAGCUGCCAUUUUGUCAACAGCCACUAUAGAGAGGCCCGCAUGGCAAGGAAAGGAAGCUUCCGGCCAAGAGCCCAUGAAGGCUGAGGCCUGCCAGCAACCACAUGAUUGAGUAUGGAAAUUGAUAAAAUUGCCCUAGUAAAAUCUUGGGAUAAUUACAGCCCUGGC